CAUUAAGUGGCUGAAAGCAAGCAAUGAUCUCUUAAAUCAAUUUAUAAUAUAUUAGCACAUAUUCUUAAUGA
rnacentral:tRNA from 1 species